UUAAGCGACUAAGCGUACACGGUGGAUGCCCUGGCAGUCAGAGGCGAUGAAGGACGUGCUAAUCUGCGAAAAGCGUCGGUAAGGUGAUAUGAACCGUUACAGCCGGCGAUGUCCGAAUGGGGAAACCCAGUGCAAUUCGUUGCACUAUCGUUAACUGAAUACAUAGGUUAACGAGGCGAACCGGGGGAACUGAAACAUCUAAGUACCCCGAGGAAAAGAAAUCAACCGAGAUUCCCCCAGUAGCGGCGAGCGAACGGGGAGCAGCCCGGAGUCUGAAUCAGCUUGUGUGUUAGUGGAAGCGUCUGGAAAGUCGCAGGGUACAGGGUGAUACUCCCGUACACUAAAACACACAGGCUGUGAACUCGAAGAGUAGGGCGGGACACGUGGUAUCCUGUCUGAAUAUGGGGGGACCAUCCUCCAAGGCUAAAUACUCCUGACUGACCGAUAGUGAACCAGUACCGUGAGGGAAAGGCGAAAAGAACCCCGGCGAGGGGAGUGAAAAAGAACCUGAAACCGUGUACGUACAAGCAGUAGGAGCCCACUAGUUGGGUGACUGCGUACCUUUUGUAUAAUGGGUCAGCGACUUAUAUUCUGUAGCAAGGUUAACCGAAUAGGGGAGCCGCAGGGAAACCGAGUCUUAACUGGGCGUUAAGUUGCAGGGUAUAGACCCGAAACCCGGUGAUCUAGCCAUGGGCAGGUUGAAGGUUGGGUAACACUAACUGGAGGACCGAACCGACUAAUGUUGAAAAAUUAGCGGAUGACUUGUGGCUGGGGGUGAAAGGCCAAUCAAACCGGGAGAUAGCUGGUUCUCCCCGAAAGCUAUUUAGGUAGCGCCUCGUGAAUUCAUCUUCGGGGGUAGAGCACUGUUUCGGCUAGGGGGUCAUCCCGACUUACCAACCCGAUGCAAACUACGAAUACCGAAGAAUGUUAUCACGGGAGACACACGGCGGGUGCUAACGUCCGUCGUGAAGAGGGAAACAACCCAGACCGCCAGCUAAGGUCCCAAAGUCAUGGUUAAGUGGGAAACGAUGUGGGAAGGCCCAGACAGCCAGGAUGUUGGCUUAGAAGCAGCCAUCAUUUAAAGAAAGCGUAAUAGCUCACUGGUCGAGUCGGCCUGCGCGGAAGAUGUAACGGGGCUAAACCAUGCACCGAAGCUGCGGCAGCGACACUAUGUGUUGUUGGGUAGGGGAGCGUUCUGUAAGCCGUUGAAGGUGGCCUGUGAGGGUUGCUGGAGGUAUCAGAAGUGCGAAUGCUGACAUAAGUAACGAUAAUGCGGGUGAAAAACCCGCACGCCGGAAGACCAAGGGUUCCUGUCCAACGUUAAUCGGGGCAGGGUGAGUCGACCCCUAAGGCGAGGCCGAAAGGCGUAGUCGAUGGGAAACAGGUUAAUAUUCCUGUACUUGGUGUUACUGCGAAGGGGGGACGGAGAAGGCUAUGUUGGCCGGGCGACGGUUGUCCCGGUUUAAGCAUGUAGGCGGAUGUUCCAGGUAAAUCCGGAACGUCAUUAACGCUGAGGUGUGAUGACGAGGCACUACGGUGCUGAAGUGACAAAUGCCCUGCUUCCAGGAAAAGCCUCUAAGCAUCAGGUAACAUCAAAUCGUACCCCAAACCGACACAGGUGGUCAGGUAGAGAAUACCAAGGCGCUUGAGAGAACUCGGGUGAAGGAACUAGGCAAAAUGGUGCCGUAACUUCGGGAGAAGGCACGCUGAUGGUAGGUGAAGUGACUUGCUCAUGGAGCUGAAAUCAGUCGAAGAUACCAGCUGGCUGCAACUGUUUAUUAAAAACACAGCACUGUGCAAACACGAAAGUGGACGUAUACGGUGUGACGCCUGCCCGGUGCCGGAAGGUUAAUUGAUGGGGUUAUCCUCACGGAGAAGCUCUUGAUCGAAGCCCCGGUAAACGGCGGCCGUAACUAUAACGGUCCUAAGGUAGCGAAAUUCCUUGUCGGGUAAGUUCCGACCUGCACGAAUGGCGUAAUGAUGGCCAGGCUGUCUCCACCCGAGACUCAGUGAAAUUGAACUCGCUGUGAAGAUGCAGUGUACCCGCGGCAAGACGGAAAGACCCCGUGAACCUUUACUAUAGCUUGACACUGAACACUGGUCCUUGAUGUGUAGGAUAGGUGGGAGGCUUUGAAGUGUGGACGCCAGUCUGCAUGGAGCCAUCCUUGAAAUACCACCCUUUAAUGGCUGGUGUUCUAACGUGGGCCCGUGAUCCGGGUUGCGGACAGUGUCUGGUGGGUAGUUUGACUGGGGCGGUCUCCUCCUAAAGAGUAACGGAGGAGCACGAAGGUCAGCUAAUCCUGGUCGGACAUCAGGAGGUUAGUGCAAUGGCAUAAGCUGGCUUGACUGCGAGCGUGACGGCGCGAGCAGGUGCGAAAGCAGGUCAUAGUGAUCCGGUGGUUCUGAAUGGAAGGGCCAUCGCUCAACGGAUAAAAGGUACUCCGGGGAUAACAGGCUGAUACCGCCCAAGAGUUCAUAUCGACGGCGGUGUUUGGCACCUCGAUGUCGGCUCAUCACAUCCUGGGGCUGAAGUAGGUCCCAAGGGUAUGGCUGUUCGCCAUUUAAAGUGGUACGCGAGCUGGGUUUAGAACGUCGUGAGACAGUUCGGUCCCUAUCUGCCGUGGGCGCUGGAGAAUUGAGGGGGCUGCUCCUAGUACGAGAGGACCGGAGUGGACGCAUCACUGGUGUUCGGGUUGUCAUGCCAAUGGCAUUGCCCGGUAGCUAAAUGCGGAAGAGAUAAGUGCUGAAAGCAUCUAAGCACGAAACUUGCCCCGAGAUGAGUUCUCCCUGACCCUUUAAGGGUCCUGAAGGAACGUUGAAGACGACGACGUUGAUAGGCCGGGUGUGUAAGCGCAGCGAUGCGUUGAGCUAACCGGUACUAAUGAACCGUGAGGCUUAACCUU
rnacentral:rRNA from 1 species